AUGGCCUGGGCCCUUCUCCUCACAGAACUUGCCCACAGCACAGGUUCCCUGGUCCAGGCAGCAGUGACUCAGCAGCCAUCCUCACUGCCAGCCAAUGUGGGAGAGACCAUCAAAAUCACCUGCUCUGGGAGUAGCUACAGCGACUAUGGCUGGUUCCAGCAGAAGAUCCCUGGCACUGGCCCUGUCACUGUGAUCUACCAGAAUGACAAGAGACCCUCGGACAUCCCUUCGCGAUUCUCCGGAUCCAAGUCUGGCUCCACAGGCACAUUAACCAUCACUGGGGUCCAAGCCGAGGACGAGGCUGUCUAUUUCUGUGGUGGCAGGGACAGCAGUGCUGCUGGUAUAGUGACAAGGACAGAUUUUCAAGUGAGGUUUCCUGGUCCAGGCAGCAGCAGUGGAUCAGCCAUUUUCAAUGUCAGCAAGCAUCAGAAGGUCCCUGGCACUGGCCCUGUCACUGUGAUCUACUUCAAUGACAGGAGACCCUCGGGCAUCCCUUCGCGAUUCUCUGGAUCCGGGUCCGGUUCCACGAACACGUUAACCAUCACUGAGGUCCAAGCCAAGGAUGAGGCUGUCUAA